GUGCUGAAACAUCCAUCUGAAGGAGGAUUUAGCAGUAAGCAGGAAAUAGAGCGUCCCGCUGAAACUGGCCCUGAAGCGCGCACACACCGCCCGUCACUCUCCCCAAAACCACCCACCCAGUUAAUUAAAACCUAAUAAUCAAAAGGGGAGGCAAGUCGUAACAUGGUAAGUGUACCGGAAGGUGCACUUGGAAAAAUC
rnacentral:rRNA from 1 species